ACUCCUACGGGAGGCAGCAGUGGGGAAUUUUGGACAAUGGGCGCAAGCCUGAUCCAGCAAUGCCGCGUGCAGGAUGAAGGCCUUCGGGUUGUAAACUGCUUUUGUACGGAACGAAAAGCCCUGGGUUAAUACCCUGGGGUCAUGACGGUACCGUAAGAAAAGCACCGGCUAACUACNGG
rnacentral:rRNA from 1 species